CGAUCGGCCGCACGCGAGGAACGCAACGACGUUACAUCGUGGUGGUUUCCGGCCGGUUCUUGUGUCGGAGGGUCCCCCAAAGAAACGGCGAAAAAGGUAGGAACGAUGGUAUCAGCGAAACGAGUUCACCGGGUGGGAUGUAGUAGAGGAAGGGAAGCGGGAUAAAA